rnacentral:rRNA from 1 species
UACGUAGGUGGCGAGCGUUGUCCGGAUUUACUGGGCUUAAAGGGCGUGCAGGCGGUUUGUUAAGUGCAGGGUGAAAGCUCCCGGCUCAACUGGGAGAGGUCCUUGCAUACUGGCGAACUCGAGGGAGGCAGAGGAAAGUGGAAUUCCCGGUGUAGUGGUGAUAUGCGUAGAUAUCGGGAGGAACACCUGUGGCGAAGGCGGCUUUCUGGGCCUUACCUGACGCUGAGACGCGAAAGCGUGGGGAGCAAACAGG